UCGUCGUUGCGUGUUGUAGGUGGUCUGGUCUGCUCUGUGCUGGUCUGCGCUGCUGCCCAGAUUUUUGCUGCCACUGGCACACACUGAUUGGGAUGCCUCUGCCGCUGCUGCCGUUGCUGUCGAGCCGACGUUGCUGCUGAUUUUGCUGUUGCUGUUGCUGUUGCUGUUGCUGCUACAUCUUCCGCAAUGACGACGACCAACCCAAACUUCUGUUUCAAUUGCCGUACGCGACGCGACGCGUUCAGUCUACGUUUCAGUGCGUUACGUAGUGCAACAAAGUGACGCGAACGUUUCAGUUUCAAUUUCAGUUUCAGUUACAGUUACAAUUACAGUUACAUUCUUGGGUUGAUGUUAAGUUUGAGCCCAAGUUUGAGGCAACUCAACAAUUGGCCUCGUUAGCCGUAGGCUUGAAUUGCCAGCCUGCCUGCCAGACUGGCCGACUUGGCCGACUGGCUGUGGCUCCUCAUCAACGUCAUCGUGAUCGUCUACAGCAUCUGUCAGGUGGCAAGUGCCAAGCAUGUGUGUCAAUUAAAAUAUCUCAGCUCAGUGAAUUGCGUGCGUGACUGUGUUUAAUUUGCGCCACAUGCCAUACGCACCACACGGCGUAUGUGCAACGUGCCCCACAGACAAGCAUCAAUACAUGCACAAACACUUACAAGCCCAAUGAAUAUGACAAUACUUGCAAUUCAACUAUGCGAAUAAAGAACUCUAAACAAAUUCCAUUGAAUUCAGCAAUCUAUGAAAUUGCGAUAUCCAGCGCAGCAGUGACCAGUCAAAGCACCAUACCGAAGCGAGCACAAAAAAUCAAUAAAAUGAUUAACAGAGCUUAAAGUGGAAAAUGCCAGCUGUCAUAAGAAAAUGCACAUAAUUCAGGUAAGUCGGCAAUCAACUUAAGAAAAUGAAAUCCACAGACUUAUCACAAAAUAUUUCAAGUUGGCUGCAUUUUAAUUUUCUCUGUAAAUGCAAAAUCUAUGCCUCUGCUUCGGCUACUCCAAAGUCUGAAACGUAAUUAAAGGAGUUUUAGAGUAAUUGAAAAGCUUCAAUAAAUCAAUAUCAUGUGCUCAAAUGAACAAAGAGGCAACAAUCGCAGCAUAAAAUGAAUUGCCAAAUGCUUUGAAUGUGACACUCAUUUAAUUUAAUAAAAUCAACAACUGGGCAUAAAUAUUUUAAAGAUUAUUUCAUUUUCUCUAUCAGGCCCUCCAUUUUAAAGCAAUCUAGUUUUUUAUGAUAUUCAAAUGUUGCUAAGUAUUUUACUACACUUAUCCGAAAGUGAACAAGUGUAAUUUGUAUCCUUAUCGUAAUGCGUAAAUUUAUACUUCUUCUGGAACAGACGAAAUUAUAAAUAGUUGACAUUUGAAUAUUAAAAUUACUUCACAUGGUCUUUGCAAUUACUAUCGGCAACUGUGACUAAUAAAGUAACCUUAGCCGAGUUGCGCUAAGCCACUUCUAUGCUGACGAGCUCAAUCAGGGCCAACCCAGGUCAAAAUUAAGUAGAGCCUGUUUUUAUGAGUUCAACGUGGCAUGUAACUGGGCGCAUCAAUGUAGUUGUUGUUGUUCAUGUUCUGGCUGUGUUUUGCUAGACUCCGCUCCUAGUCAAGAGCUACUCCUUGUUGUAAUAGUAGUAGUAGCUGUUGUUGCAUUUGUCGUACAUCUUUGUUUACUUUGUGCUCAUGUAACGCCCUCUACUCUGUCAACGGCCCCAACAACGUUGUUGUCCUCGGCAAGAAAUUUAAUUUACCAGCCGCCAUAAAACGGCAGAAUGGCAGCGGCCAGCGUUGGUCGGAGGGAGGACACACGUCUCUGCAAUUUUGUUUGCACCGAAAAAUUUGUGUGCUCUUUGCUUUAAAAGCGCCAAGCGCAACAUUUUCACAAUUAAUUUGUCAUUUCGUAGUGCAAAUAUUUUUUCAACUCUCCAACUUUGAGCAUAACAGAUACCUGGUCUCCUGAGUUCCGGGCACCGUAUCUCGGUUGGGCAUCAGGCCUUGGCCACAGCCCAACGUAUUUAACGUUCGCUUAACGAAACUUUUUGUUGCUGAAAGCAUUGUAAAAUAUGAACAAAAGUUGAAAGCUUGCAUAUGCUACCAAAUUCUCCACUCUAAUCCUUGACUUUUAGCAUACUUUUCAAGGAUUUGCACACACGCACACACACACACACACACACACAAUACACUUGUGUGCAUGGAUAUGACCGUAAAAAGACUGUCCGCAAAUGCAUUUAUUCAUGAGAAGUUUUUGUUACACUCUCAGCUGGCCAAAUGAAAAGCGUCACUGAACAAGAUCCAGCUAGUUGCUAAGAGACACGACAAAUACGAAUGCAGCUCGUCUUAAUUGUAUUACAGGGCAGGCAAGCAGAAAGACAAGCUAAGUCUCAGUAAGAAUUCAAAUAAAAUAGGAUUUUCAAACAUUAUACUAUGCAUUCCAUCAAUGUAUUUCGCCCCAAAUUCGCCUGAUUAUUAACUCUUGAGGCUCUCACAAGUAGUUGGCCUAUCUGGUCAUAAAUUUUUGCAAAAUAUUCGCAUGUUGAAAGAACAAAUUUUAUGACAAAGUAGAGCAAAUUUAAACUAUCAAAAGUGCACAUUAAGAGAUGAAGUUUUUCGUAAUGUAAAAAUAACAAUACAUAUUUCUAAUUAAACUCGUGAUAAUAAAUUGAUAGCAGCAAAAUAAACGCUGCAGAACCGAAUUGUACUACAGAAUUUGCUCUCGUAAUUUAUAUUUUAUUUUAUUUAUUUAUUUUUCUAUGCCAUGUACGAAAUCGAAAUCCGAGCUACAUCUACAUUUACAUUUAGAGCAAAUAAAGAGGAAAACAAAAGAUUUAUCAAAUUUGCAGCUUUGAAACAUUUCAGCCGUAAAGCAUGCAAAAGCAAAUCCUGUGGACCAAACAUUUGGCAUUAAGGAAACAGAAGCUCAUGCAUAUUGUAUAAUAAAUAUGUGUUGCAUGUUAAACAAAACCAGGAGACAACUGUAAGCCCUGCCUCCAGGUUGGGGGGCUUGAGGUCAGUUGGUGCUGCUGUCAAAGAUCUUGGGGAAAAACCGAGACAAAACAAGACACAAAACAAAUAGUCUAAUAAGCCCUGGCUGAGUGGCAGUCAAACGACAAAUGGCAAACGGCAAACGGACUGACAACUGUCUUAGAUACACCCACAAAAGAUACAAAAAGUGCUUCGCUUUUUGGCAUAUGCCGUAGAUACAUAUUUGCAUAGAAAGCUUUUGACUUUGGCAUGAGCAUAAAAAAUAAAUGCCAAAUAAAAUAAAUUAUAUGCACGCACACACACACACACACACAUGUGAGUGUGUAACGCAAAUAUGUUAACAGAUUAAACAUGAGGCAGCCAGAGCAGCUGGCCAAAAGCCGCAGGCAAACACGAGACCAACUGAACCACAGACUCUACCAGCCCAGUAUCGUCUCCAUGCGCAUUGAUUGCCGUGUUCCAACUACAAUGCGUUACGUAUACGUUAUAUUUUUGAGGGGCCAGCAGACAGCAAUACGAGCAGCGCUCCCUGACUCUGGCUCUGCUCCUGACACUGGCAACGUGACUGUGACACGACCAAUUAGUGUUGCUAGCCCAGCGCUGAUGUGCCUUGCUGUAGCCAGAGUUACACGCACACACACUUGCCACGUUGCGUCCUAACAUUGAACCUUAAGAAGUGAGCCCAAUGCAAAUGUUUUCAGCUGCAGCUUAACGCAAACUAGAUACUGCUAAUAUCUGGAAUUUAAAGCAAAUGUACAUAUAUGCUGAAACAAAAACGUAACUAAAUUUGACACCUCUUGAGAUUGCAUAUGUAGUAUGUCACACUUGCAUACAAUUUACGGAAAAAAGUUCGGCAUUGCUAUUUCAAAGAGCUGCUAUUUGAUGUCCUUUUGUCACAGACGCACAGAAGCACAAUAGGAAAAUAAAGGAGUAUUUCAAAGAGGCUUGUUGUUAUUUUAAAAUAUCCUAGAGGGAAAUAGAAAACAACAUCGGUGAUUCAGUUUACGCUUCCAGCCAACCCUCUGCCUUCAGGCUCGGUGCGUUAACCUAGUUUAUCAUUGUCAAAGUACAUGUCAAGGUAUUUUCAAAGAUGAAAUAGAAAAACAAAAUUGUUACUUUAUAAAAGUAUUGCAAGCCGUUCAAAAUUUCAUCCGAUCUCCAACCAAAAGUGGCAUUCACAAAUUGAAUGGAUGCCUUAAAAGCUUUUAAUGUGAUUUAAGUAGAAAUUUGGUUUGGAUUACGAUUAUACCAUUUUUUCGGAAUACUGUAGUCAUAGUACUCAAUAAAAAUGGGAUUUUGUGACUGAAUCAAUUCGGAUAAAAAUAGAUUUACAGCUUUAUCUAUCGAGAUCAAUUCUAAGCUGCCUACACUUAAUUCUAAUUUUCGUUGCUAGAGAAUUUACGCUUUCCCAAAAACCUCAUAUAUUAGUAAGAAGUUAAAGUUCUUUCCCCAUUUGCAAUUGUGCUAAAGGAGAGAUUCUUAUGGUCUACACAAACACAAUAUGCCCUUUAUAUUGCUCAAUAUAGGAUAUAGAAGGAAAAAAAAACAACAGCAGAAUACCAAAGACUUUUCAUAAAAGGCAAACGAAAACAAGCGAAAAUCAUUGAGUUUAGUUGGCAUCAGUCGAGAACAUCAAAGUGAAUAAAGCGGCGAGAAGUACAAAAAAAAAAAGUGCCAAAAGGAAGGCCAAAAGUAAACAACCAUUAUACACUUCACAAAAACGUUGCAGGGUGUGGCAGGUUGAAAAGUGCGGAGUGCUGUGGCAUCGAGAGGUUCGGGUAGCUGGGCAGUAUGAAAACAUUUUACUGCCAAACACACUCAAACACACGCACACCAGAAAAAUAAACAAUUUCAUAAGAUAUGCACAACAACAAGCGUUGGAAAAUAUCUGAAUAUAUAUAUGUAUACGUAUAAGUAAAAUGUGGCAAGCAAGUGGCAGCAGGAGUCGAAGUGGCUGGCUGUGGGAGUUGGCCAGGGCAACCGCAGGGCAGGCAGCAGCAGCAGCAGCAGCAGUAGCACCAGCAGCAACAACAACAGCAGCAAAUAAUGCAAAACAAACAGAAAACGUAACAAAGUAAAACAGCAAACGGCAAGGGAGAGCGGGCGCAGGGCACUAAGGCGGGGGCGACACCAGGCGACGAGACACUUUGCCGCCAACGCAAAUAAACCCCAAUAAGUGGAGUUGGGCGGAGGCAGAGUCGGAAACUGACAGCGACGUUCGCGUUGGCCACUCAGCAGCAUUUGACACUUGACGCAAGGACAACGUAAGGACAAUGGCAACAACGGCGACGAAGACGAGUGCGAAGACUCGUGACGGAGGCUGUGAAAAGAGCACAAAAAUAUUAUUUAAAAAAAAAAAACAGAAGACAUAAAUAAAUAUUUCAAUUUUUGCACAAAAAUUUCAUUUAUAUGUAGCGUAGCGAUAAAAUAUGGAAGCGGGCACAAAAACAAAAAAAAA